CGCCGUUUGUUUAUUUUGGGGUUUCUCUUCGCGGCUAAAAAUAAUUUUUAUUUUAAAUUUUGUUUCUGCUUGUUGAUUUGCUAAAGUAAGAAGUUUCAUGUAAAUUUAAUGAUUUCCUUGCAUUUGAACGGUGAAAAAUGUGUGACCACGCGCUCCUGAUGGAGACGUUCGCCGAGCAUCGGAAGAUCCACGACCGUUUCCUCGAGAUGUUCGGAACGUUGUUCGAAACCGCUCAAAGCAUGAAACUGCUCGCCGCCGACAUCACCAGCAACUACGACGCACUGUUUCUUCAACUGCGCAAGCAAUCUUCCCCCGUGGUGGAACAACCUCCGCAGAAGCGUCGCAAGGCCCAUUCGUUCGACUCACCGUCCACGGCCCGCCCAAACGCCACCUCAACGGGCCGGUGCGUGGACGACGCUAUAGAUUCGUCCAUGGUGCGCAACAAAUCCGACCCGGAAGUGUCCACGUACUCGCUGCUCAACCAGGCCAUCGAUCUCCCGGACUCGGAGGAGUCCUUCUUCGCGCUGACUCAGAGUCCUCCUACGGUGCGGGAACCGCUCUCCCCACGGAGGGACCUGCCCGGCCAAGCCGAUAACGUUCCGAGCACUCCACCCAAGCUGGACUCGACGGAGAAGAAGCGCAAAAAGCAUAAUUUGUCGCUGGGCCGCUUCUCGACCAACUUCCAGAUGUCACCGGAGACGAACAAACAGCUGCAGCAGCUGCCGGUGCGGCAAAAGAUGACCACGCCCAAGGUGAAGGUCGAACAGCAGGAAAAUUUGGCGCCCGUUGGCAAGUGGACGGCGAAGAAGAGCAGCACGGGCGUGGGACGGAGCGAGUCUUCUGCGGUGCUCAGGAGGACGCCGACCAGUACGGGCAAGGACAGCACCGGAUCGUUGCUGAACCGCACAAGACUCCGCCAAACCAAGCUGCGCUUCCCGGACAACAAAUCCUCCGCAGCGGACGACGACGAGACGUACUUUGACGAAUUUGUCGUCCCAAGUCCAACGUCCUUCAGCGGGUCGCGCUUUUUCAAGAGCAUGCGCAAGAAGGAACAAUCCUCGCUCAUUGCAGCGGCCCCGUCAUCCUCCACCGCCACCACCUCCAAUAAUCCUGCCCAAAAAGAAGACGACGACGUGUUCAAAAGUCCCGAGGCCAAACCCCGCAAAGCCGUGAAGCCCGCCGUCGAUUCCGACGAGGACAACUUUGACAUCGAUCAGACCUACUUUUCCGAGGCGGAAAAGGAUCUGAGUCGAGGUACGAAGGUCGUCCGGGUCAAACAGGAACCGUCCAGCCAGAAGAAACUCACCAAAAGCAAAAUCCUAGCCUUGGACACCCCAGCGCUUGAGCAGGGCAUUCUGGACGCGAGCGGCGUCGAGAUCGUCAAACCACCCUCCCAGGACAACGUCAUCACGAUCGAGGAGUCCCAACCGACCCGGAACGAUCUCUUCAUGGAAGCCAUCCGGGAGGAACAACGGCGCGAGCAAGCCUCGCGUAAAACCAUCCUGGACGCGAUGGGACCUCCCACGAUCCGCAAACCGCCGGAAUUCCGCAGUUCCCCCCUGCGAAAGUUCAACACCUUUGGAGGGGUCGGGCCGCUGGUGCCGAAACCGGCGCCACCACCGGAACGACGCUGCACCGAGUGCACCAAGCACACCCGCAUUCUGGAGCUGCGAGGGCUGACGCCGGACGAGAUUCGGGCCAAGCUGGCGCGCAAUUGUCGCGGGUGUCGCCAGGCCCAGCUGCACGAGACGCCGCCCGGCUUCUGGAAUCCGGAGUUUUCGCCGACGCAGAGAAUUUGAGACGUGCGGAGAAAAUGAAUAACGUGCCAUUUCGCGAAAUAAGUGACUUAUCAGAAAUAAAAGCUAACUUAUCAAAAAAUAAAACGAUUUCAACUCAUUCGUCAACUCUCCCCGCCAACGUCCCUGCCCUUUCGCGAUAAAAAAGAGCAAGAGUCAUCCGCACUACCGCUUUGUAGAUCUUUCAAGCGCAAAACUUUGCAUACCAGUUGAGGCGUAUCGCGACAGAACGAACGCAGUGAGAGGAGUAAAAAAAGCCCAGCACAAGAAUAAAAGUAAUUCAGCAUAAACCGGAAGCCGGCUAGGAGACUGAAUCAUCACAUGUGUUUACUCUUUCACCGAGUGAAAUAGAAAAUUUUACGUGUUUCGAAUUAGUACUUAUUUUCACGCGAAAUCACAACCAGAUAGAAAAAUCGGAGCUAAAAGCAAGCACAAAAAAAUUAAACUCUAUAAUAAACCGGAAAUGGCUAAUUGUUGUCAGGUGGUGCGUUUUGGUGCUCAAUCCAUGUUGGUGCUGUGUGUUAGUUUGGCGAUGACCUUUUGCGAAGCAAUCGACCCUGUACACGGAAUAAAUAUUUUUGUUGGGGACUUUCCUCAAUGCAAUAAUGGGUUAGAUUUUGUAGUGGGUGUCAGUAAAACAAACUUGGGUUCAAAACUUCAACUGGGGUCAUACCAUAUUCUUGACGAGAUUUUCGUGCUCAAUUUCGAGGUUGUUCUUCUUGCUCUGCAAGACUCGGGGCAGCGAAAUCGAAGCCAUUGUGUGAUUAGUUGGGGUAUUCCGGGGUAGUUUUGAGCACUAAUUUUGUGAUAAAGGUCACAGUUCAACUUCACAACGGUGACCCACUAAGACAUCACUUUUUCUUCGGAUUAAAUCCGCACGAUUUGACCGCGUAAAACUAGGCGUAUUCCACACUCGUGAAAAAA